rnacentral:miRNA from 1 species
AGAAUUGGAGGAAAACAAACUGA